GACGAACCGUGCGAACGUUAUUCGGAAUCAUUGGGCUUAAAGCGCGUGUAGGCGGGUUCGUGCGUCUGUCGCUGAAAUCCCCCGGCUCAACCGGGGAAGUGGCACGGAUACGACGAGUCUGGAGGGGCAUAGGGGGACCUGGAACUUCCGGUGGAGCGGUGAAAUGCGUAGAGAUCAGGAAGAACACCCGUGGCGCAAGCGGCCACCUGGCUGCCAACUGACGCUGAGGCACGAGAGCGUGGGGAGCGAACCGG
rnacentral:rRNA from 1 species